rnacentral:rRNA from 1 species
UACGGAGGGGGCUAGCGUUGUCCGGAAUCAUUGGGCGUAAAGAGCGUGUAGGCGGCCCGGUAAGUCCGCUGUGAAAGUCGGGGGCUCAACCCUCGAAUGCCGGUGGAUACUGUCGGGCUAGAGUGCGGAAGAGGCGAGUGGAAUUCCUGGUGUAGCGGUGAAAUGCGCAGAUAUCAGGAGGAACACCAAUUGCGAAGGCAGCUCGCUGGGACGUAACUGACGCUGAGACGCGAAAGCGUGGGGAGCGAACAGG